rnacentral:lncRNA from 1 species
UAUAAAGUGCAAUCUUUGCAUAAAAAAGAUUUGAUAUCUUCUAUGAGGAUAACUUGAAUUAGCCAGAGUAAAUUAGUUUAUGGUCCUUUUCAAGCAAAACACGACCAAUACUUCGCAAUUGCUACAUCACAAUGCUUAGUUGUUAACUUUGUUUUAACUAUGCACAAAACAUUCAACAGUUUAAAUGAAUUAAGCCUAAUUCAUUUUGUUUUCCAAUUUAAAGCUCAAAUCGAUCAAACCAAACAAGACCUACCAUUUAUUAUCACGACAUAUGUACAAAGAAACAACUACCAAAACAAAAACAAGCACAUUUCAUAACAAUCCUCCCACCCCCACCCCCAAACAAUGAAACCAAAUUCAAGCAAGAAAACAAAUAUCAACUUGCUUUGUAGCUGAAAACAAUGCACAUAAUGGGUGAUAAAAAAUGGUAUCAAACUAUAAUUUGUUGAUCUACGAACUGGGAGCUAUCUUCCCAAUUAUUUUCCAUACACCUAAUGUUAGGGGGCAUGAUGCAAAACAACACAUGCUAGAAAAAUAUUAAAGAGACAUUCCUAAAUA